AUUGAACGCUGGCGGCAGGCCUAACACAUGCAAGUCGAGCGGAUGAAGGGAGCUUGCUCCUGGAUUCAGCGGCGGACGGGUGAGUAAUGCCUAGGAAUCUGCCUGGUAGUGGGGGAUAACGUCCGGAAACGGGCGCUAAUACCGCAUACGUCCUGAGGGAGAAAGUGGGGGAUCUUCGGACCUCACGCUAUCAGAUGAGCCUAGGUCGGAUUAGCUAGUUGGUGGGGUAAAGGCCUACCAAGGCGACGAUCCGUAACUGGUCUGAGAGGAUGAUCAGUCACACGGGAACUGAGACACGGUCCAGACUCCUACGGGAGGCAGCAGUGGGGAAUAUUGGACAAUGGGCGAAAGCCUGAUCCAGCCAUGCGGCGGGUGUGAAGAAGGUCUUCGGAUUGUAAAGCACUUUAAGUUGGGAGGAAGGGCAGUAAGUUAAUACCUUGCUGUUUUGACGUUACCAACAGAAUAAGCACCGGCUAACUUCGUG
rnacentral:rRNA from 1 species